rnacentral:rRNA from 1 species
UACGAAGGGGGCUAGCGUUGCUCGGAAUCACUGGGCGUAAAGCGCACGUAGGCGGCUUCUUAGGUCAGGGGUGAAAUCCUGGAGCUCAACUCCAGAACUGCCUUUGAUACUGAGAAGCUUGAGUCCGGGAGAGGUGAGUGGAACUGCGAGUGUAGAGGUGAAAUUCGUAGAUAUUCGCAAGAACACCAGUGGCGAAGGCGGCUCACUGGCCCAGUACUGACGCUGAGGUGCGAAAGCGUGGGGAGCAAACAGG